CUCUAUGAAAUUACCAGUACUUAGUGUCAUUCAAUCAGAAAGUGGAUCACUAACUCAGGCAUUAUUAUUUAGGACAUUGAAAUAGUCAACCAAUAAGAAAAUUUCUGAAUUUAUAAGUUCUUCAAAAUCGGAAUCAAAGAGUCUGAAAACUAAAUUACCAAAAUCGACUGGGGUGGUCACGUUGAUCGCCUAUUAUUUCGGAGAGGACCUAAACCAAAUAUUUAAGUGUUUCCAGAAAGAAACCCCUUUUUUCCCAGAUAUUAGAAGAUAUUCCAAAAUCGCCAUUUAUUGCUUGCAUAGGUAACACGGUAGCGACUGCUGAGACUUUUUACGUCAUCGCUGAACGAGAAGUGGUGUGUUCCUGUAGAUCGUUUUUUGAAGCGGUAGCUUUUCAGUUUGCUUCGUUCUAUGUUUUCAACAUAGAAUAUCCAAAGAAGGCCUUGCUGACGUUUUAUUCAGAAGUUCUUCGGUGACAUAAACCCCAGAGGCACUAAGUCGAAAAAAGUAAAGGCAAAGACGUUCAUGCAAAAGUAAUCGGCCUUGCAAGAAGAGUGAAUCUAUCACAGGCGUUAUAUGUGCCGUUGUUAGAAAUUGAUGUUUAAGUAAACUUUGGUGGUGUUACUGCAGCUUACAUCACUUUUGACCAGGGGUGAAAACUCGAUCAAAUUUUUACAUGCCUUUGAUUGAGUUUCUCAAGUUCGAGUUCAUUACCGAGUUCGCAGCCCUGCUUUUGGCUGAUCGAUUAAUUUGAUAAAAAAUGAUUUAGCUGUGUGUUGGGUGUGAAGUCUGGAUAAUUUUAAACAAACUCUGCUCCGUGAUCUUCUUCAACCACAAAAUUUCUGGCUUCCACUCAUGACUAUCAACUCCCACAUUUGCAAAUAUAUGACUUCGUCUCCUGCUCAAGACUCCUUCAAAAUAUGAAUUAAAACUCUUGACUCCCUGAUCUUUUAAGAUUUGACUGCUGCUAUGCUAGCUGCUUUAGUGUAACUUUUUGUCCAGUUUUAUCAAUUUUAACAUUUUCGAAUUUGCAACUUCUGCAAACUCUGCUCUUAGCUCAUGAGCUUAAAAAAUGUCCAGUCAAACUCUAUUCAUAAGUGUGGAUAAACUCCGACUAUGAUUAACUCUAUAAACUCUGCAAGCUUCAAAAUUUAGAACCCCCACUCAUGCUCCUACCAAAAUCCUCAAACUCCCGCUCUUCGACUUCACGCCCCUUGAAAUCUUAUCCUGAAAAUUAUCUUGCAUAAUUAAUUUUAGAAUUUGUCAUCUUUGAAACUCUUGCCAUAGCUACAAAAUAGGUUGCAUGAUAUUUCCCAAAAUUUUCAUUUUGAAACAUUAUAAUUAGAGUAAAGUGCAAAAAAUCGUGAAAUUCUUACAAUAGUCUCGUUAUUAUGUCACGUUUGCCAGCGUCUCAUAGCCUGGUAUCCAGAAAUUUGAUUUCAAAAUAAGUUUGUCAACUAAACAACCCAGUCCUAAAACGUUUUCUUGUUUGACUUUAUUUGGAUCUAUUGAGAAAAUAAAUAGACCUCAAAUGUAUAGACCAGAUUUCUAACAAGUGCCGAUAGAAACUCAAUUUUGAUCCAUUACAUACAGAAUUCCUAUGUUCUACAAGAACUUGUGCCCUCAUUUUAUUGCAUGGAUAGCCUUCAACGUCUCCUAAUAGGUGUUUAAA